rnacentral:rRNA from 1 species
GAUGAACGCUGGCGGCGUGCCUAAUACAUGCAAGUCGAGCGAACAGACGAGGAUCUUGCUGCUCUCACGUUAGCGGCGGAGGGGUGAAAAACACGUGGAUAACCUACCUAUAAGACUGGGAAAACUUCGGGAAACCGGAGCUAAUAGCGGAGAAUAUCUUGAACCGCAGGGUUCAAUGGUGAAAGACGGUGGUGCUGGCACUUAUAGAUGGAUCCGCGCCGCAUUGGCUAGUUGGUAAGGUAACGGAUUAUCAAGGCAAGGCUGCGUAGCCGAACGGAGAGGGUGAGUGGCCACCCUGGAAGUGUGACACGCUACAGUCGCCCACGGGAGCGAGCAGUAGGGAAUCUUGCGCCAUGAGCGAAAGCCUGACGGAGCAACGCCGCGUGAGGGAUGAACGUCUUCGGAUCGUAGAACUCUGUUAUUAGGGAAGAACAAAUGUGUAAGUAACUAUGCACGUAUUGACGGUACCUAAUCAGAAAGCCACGGCUAACUACGUG